GAAAAGUUGUUUUAACAACACCUUUUUAACAAUUUUUUAACAACGUAUGCGUGACAGCUUGUCAUUGGUUUGUUUCAAAUAUUUUUUUAAACAUAAAUUCAAAUAGACCAUUAAAGUAAUGACGUGUGUCCUGUUUUCAAAAAGUUGUCAAAAAUAUUAGGAUCCUAUAAAAAAACCUGUGAAACUACCAUCUUUAACCACCCCAGACGAAGCUCUCCCACCACUGCACCUUCUUCUUCUUCUUGCACUGCCACUUCCUCUAAUCACAAUCACUUACUAUAGCACCUUCUUGAUUCACAACGAACCAAUGUUAUCUCCAACCAAACACACCACCGUAAUGCUACAAUACACCACCACACUUUCAACAAACAAAAAUUAGAAGAAGAAUAAGAUUGAGAGGAAUUUCGUUUAAGCGAAGUAAUGGAUUGUUGGAGAGGUGCAUUGAUACAAUGAUGGGACGACUAAUGAAAAUGAUUGGUUGUUGGGUAAAAAAAUAAAAACAUAAAUUGAAUAUUACUAAAGGGUAAAAGGAGAAUGGGGAGGUUUAGGGAAUAGUGGGUGGUGAUGGAGGGAGUACCCCUUCCUUGCUGCAUACCAUGUUUUUUUCUAAAAGCCUCCGAUUUUCUUCGUGCACCUCUAGUUUUUUCUAAAUAGCUCCAAAUGUCUCUUGAUUUUGAUUAGGGUAAAACCUCAAUUUCUCUCUCUCUCAUGUUUAUCCUCGAAGCACUCACCCCUCACACUUUCCCUCUAACCUAGCGCUGCACCCACUUCUUUUUUUCACUUUCUUCUACCCUUGCACCCCACAAUUUAUGUUAUUUUCUUUCCUCCCAUUUACCACCCCACAACUUCGUUCCUUUCCCUUUCCCGCUACAUUAUUUCUCCAUCUUCUCUACUUACAAAAUCGUCAUCCUCAAGUAAGUUUUCAUUUUUUUAACUGUUUAUUUGAGGAUUUUGGCCAGUAAGAUGAAUACGUAAAAGAUUUGGAAAUAGAUAAUAUGUUUACAGUUUCAUAAGAGAACCAAAUUUAGAAAUCAGU
rnacentral:lncRNA from 1 species